UACGGGGGGAGCAAGCGUUGUUCGGAUUCACUGGGCGUAAAGGGUGCGCAGGUGGCUUGGCAAGUUUGAUGUGAAAGCUCAGGGCUUAACCCUGAAAUGGCAUUGAAUACUGUUGAGCUGGAGGUUUGGAGGGGGGACUGGAAUUCUUGGUGUAGCAGUGAAAUGCGUAGAUAUCAAGAGGAACACCAGUGGCGAAGGCGAGUCCCUGGACAACACCUGACACUGAGGCACGAAAGCUAGGGGAGCAAACAGG
rnacentral:rRNA from 1 species